GUUUUCGUGGCCUAGUGGUUAGGGCGUCUGUCUUACAAACUCCAUUCUUGGGGCAACACUCCAAAGAUCGGAAAGUUGGAUCACAGAAGAUCCCCGGUUCAAUCCCGGGCGGAAACA